GGUCCGGAGCAGCGUGGAAGACUAGUGAUUUUGUUGUUUGGUGUCAAAAUUGACAACAAAUCAUUGUCUUCCUCACUGCCCCGAGACG
rnacentral:pre_miRNA from 13 species